AUGAACGCUGGCGGCGUGCUUAACACAUGCAAGUCGAACGGAAAGGCCACAGCUUGCUGUGGUACUCGAGUGGCGAACGGGUGAGUAACACGUGGGUGAUCUGCCCUGUACUUCGGGAUAAGCUUGGGAAACUGGGUCUAAUACCGGAUAGGAAUCACAUGUGGGUGUGUGGUUGGAAAGCUUUUGCGGUAUGGGACGAGCUCGCGGCCUAUCAGCUUGUUGGUGGGGUAAUGGCCUACCAAGGCGUCGACGGGUAGCCGGCCUGAGAGGGUGUACGGCCACAUUGGGACUGAGAUACGGCCCAGACUCCUACGGGAGGCAGCAGUGGGGAAUAUUGCACAAUGGGCGCAAGCCUGAUGCAGCGACGCCGCGUGGGGGAUGACGGCCUUCGGGUUGUAAACUCCUUUCGUCAGGGACGAAGCGAAAGUGACGGUACCUGGAUAAGAAGCACCGGCUAACUACGUG
rnacentral:rRNA from 1 species